UUCUGGGUGGAUUGAAAUAUUGACAACUCUUUCUUGAUUCGGGGAUGGUGGUGCAUCUCCGUUCUAGUUAGUGGAGCGAUUGUCUGGGUUAAUGCAGAUGACGAAUGAGACUCCAGCCAAUUACAACGCCUAUUAAAUGGGUGCGUGGUUCUCUGCACCUUGCACCAUUCUUAGAGGGAGAAGGGGCUCCUAGGCGCACGAAACAGAGCGAUAACAGGUCUGUGAUGCCCUUAAAU
rnacentral:rRNA from 1 species